rnacentral:lncRNA from 1 species
CUCCAUUAUAUAAAUAAUAGACCUUGGAGCCGAGAUUGUGGGUUGCUUUGGUUGUUGUGAUGUGCUGAUCUAUAGAGAUUAAGAAGCAUGUGAAAGGCAUCAACUUUUUGUGUUGAUCUAUACGUCGAGUUCAUGUAGGCUCUAAGUUUUUUAUUCUGAGUUAUCCAUCUGAUUUCCUCUUUUAUAAUCAUUGCAUUGUUAAGUAGGCUAAAAAGUACAUGCAUG